AGGCGAAGUGGUGGAGAAACAGGGAUGGGAUGCAGCAUAUUUCAAGAAGAUGGCGAUGUUCGUGUACAAAUUUAUCAUUUUUUUUUUUCAAAGUUUGUUUUUGACGGAAGACGAGAUGUCAGGUGGUGUGUUGGGUGAAUCAAGUGGGCAGGGUUAUAACAGGCCAGAUGACGGCAGAGGGGGUAGACCAUCCGGUGGUCGACCUAUUGGUCGGAUUUCGCACGUGAGAAGCUUCACGACGUGCUGCGGAGGUGGGUGCGGAUGAUAGAACGUAAAGAAAGCGGAUAUCGGGAAAUAAAGAGACGUGUUGUU